CAAGCGCCAUUGGAGACAAGUGCAGUGUUUGGCUAAUGUCUUUUGGGACAAAUGGAGAAAACAGUACCUCUCCACUCUGCAGCCGCGCAGUAAAUGGCAAUCUGGAAGGCCAAAUCUAAAAUCUGGAGAUGUGGUUCUAGUGCGGAAUUAUCAAUCUAAAAGGAAUGAUUGGCCUCUUGGACUGGUGACUAAAGUGUUUCCUAGUGAGGAUGGUAGAGUUCGUAAAGUGGAGGUUAAGGUUUGUAGAGAUAAUGAGACCAGACUUUACAAUAGGCCUAUAUCUGAACUUGUUCUUCUUAUUUCAUCAUAGUUGUUGAGGAUGAUAUCUUCGAUAUCAGGUGGGGAGUGUCAUGUUUGUUGGAAAGGGUAAAGUGCUUAAUUAUCGACCAUUUCCAUUUGUGGGCUGUUGUUGUGUUCAGAUAUGCAUGCUUUGCAAUGUUUGUCCUUCCUGAGCCGCCUUAGACUGGGGCGUUCCCGACAUAGGUAAUGUUUCUGCCACAAACACAUACAGCGAAGUUCAUCCUGCCUGUUUAAUUCUAUGGUAGCAUAGCUGUUUUACACCUGCUCUUUAUUAAUAAACUGGAGAUCUGUACACCUCGUGUCAAGUCUGUCUCUGGGUCGUUAUAUUGAUGAAGGGAGGAGUUUAGCUGCCUGAAUAUCUAUUACCACGUAAUAGCGAGAUCAAAACAUUGACAGCAGAAAAAAUGACAGAAAACAACAGAAUAAAAAGCCUUACCACAAGAAACGGCUCUGAUCUUCCCCGAAGAAUAACACCAUAUUGCUCUACUAAGUUCAUCGCACCUUCAGCUUCCUCCUGACGUCAUCUCCGACCAUUCUCCAACCCCCAUCAUUUCCGUCAGCGUAUUUCCUGUUUUCAUUAAGCCUCCUCCAUAAAAACUCCAAGAACCCAUACUAUGUUGUCAGAAGUGUAUUUAUUGUGCAACUUUGACUGAGGCAACCUUGAACUGGAACUUCUGGCCAGUAUAUGGGGGAGACUCUACAACUGUUUACCUAUCUUGUGUCUCUUGAUUUAUUACUAUAUAUAUAUAUAUAUAUAUAUAUAUAUAUAUAUAUAGUACUCCACCUCCCCUCACCCCACUGUCACUCCACAGAUCGCCGUGUUUUGGCCAAAAGAGUGGAUCCGAGCACUCACCAUCUAUGAGGUAGGUGUACAGGACAGAAAAGUAAGUUUCCCAGGGCAAUCAGACCCUGGGCCUGACACCUACUUCACGGAUCCUGCCUUCCAGAUUGUGCUUUUUUCAGCUGCAGCCUCUUCUUCUGCUACACUGAUCCAGGUGUUGCUUGUGACGGUGGGCGACUGGGUGCCCACUGCUUUCAGCCCUCACCUGGGCUUCUUCUUCCUCAUCAAUAGUAGCUGUGCUUCCAUGGGCCUUCGCGACCUCUUGACGAACACUGUGCUGCUGCUAGGGUGCAUCUCGCCACUGUGGUGUGUGUGUGCGUGCCUCUCACUUUGCUGCGUGUCUCGCACUGUCAUGUUGGGUUGGGCCACAAUAAUUAUUUAAGGGUCUCCUGCCAGCAGACGGCCAGGAGUCCCAUCUGGGAUGCCAAUUGUGAUGCCACCCGCCCUAACCCUCACACAGACAGGCAGAACACAAGUUAAGCACACAACACGCUCUUUUAUUUUCUACUGGAAAGUGCUUUCCCUUGCUCCCCAGACCCACACAGUACAACAAAGCACUAAAGCACCAACAUAGUCCCUUCGUCGCCACCUUCAGUCCUCCACACAGGCUUUGUCCUCUUCCUCCCAACUCUGGUUGUUGGAUGCUGAAGACUGGCCACUUUUUAUAGGGCGCCUGGAGUCCCUAGCAAGCUUCCUCCAGCAGCACUUAUGGGUGUGGUGGAAAUGCUGCCAAAUAGGGCCCUGCAAAUGUCCAUGCGCCCCCUGGAGGUGGCCACAGGCCAAAACAGGGUUGAGCCUCUAAGCUCAUAACUCGUGGUCCCACUGGAAACCAAGGGGACUGCCCUCUAUCAGUUCCGGGGAGACCCAGUCCUUGCAUAAUCCGGGUGUCCGACCAUU